CAUUGCCAUGCCUAGUCUUAAACCGCCAGGCAUAACAGUUCGUAUCCGGGGCUUCCGGCACAAGAGGCGGCGGAGAUGGGUUGCGCAGCCGUUCUGGAGUUCUCAUGCCACCUAAUGAACUCCAUACUGCUUUACUCUUUCUAUCCCUUGGAAAAAGCCAAACAUUGCAUUACUGGAUUCUAUAAACCGCAGGGGAGCCUACUGCAUCUAAACAUAUUGCCGGAAGCAGUUUUGGCAAUGGAACCAAUCAUCAACUCCCGGUAUAUCCUCUACCUCUCCGAGAUCGGAAGA